rnacentral:rRNA from 1 species
GACGAACGCUGGCGGCGUGCUUAACACAUGCAAGUCGAACGCUGAAGCACCAGCUUGCUGGUGUGGAUGAGUGGCGAACGGGUGAGUAAUACGUGAGUAACCUGCCCUUGACUCUGGGAUAAGCCCGGGAAACUGGGUCUAAUACUGGAUGCUACAUGUCACCGCAUGGUGGUGUGUGGAAAGGGUUUACUGGUCUUGGAUGGGCUCACGGCCUAUCAGCUUGUUGGUGAGGUAAUGGCUCACCAAGGCGACGACGGGUAGCCGGCCUGAGAGGGUGACCGGCCACACUGGGACUGAGACACGGCCCAGACUCCUACGGGAGGCAGCAGUGGGGAAUAUUGCACAAUGGGCGAAAGCCUGAUGCAGCGACGCCGCGUGAGGGAUGACGGCCUUCGCGUUGUAAACCUCUUUCAGCAGGGAAGAAGCCACAAGUGACGGUACCUGCAGAAGAAGCGCCGGCUAACUACGUG